UCCAGACUCCUACGGGAGGCAGCAGUGAGGAAUAUUGGUCAAUGGGCGGGAGCCUGAACCAGCCAAGCCGCGUGAGGGAAGAAGGUACAGCGUAUCGUAAACCUCUUUUGUCAGGGAACAAAGGCGGGGACUAGUCCCCGGAUGAGGGUACCUGAAGAAAAAGCAUCGGCUAACUCCGUGCCAGCAGCCGCGGUAAUACGGGGGGUGCAAGCGUUGUCCGGAAUCAUUGGGCGUAAAGCGUUCGUAGGCGGUGUGUCAAGUCUGAUGUUAAAGCCCGGGGCUCAACUCCGGUUCGGCAUUGGAUACUGGCAAACUAGAAUGUGGUAGAGGUAAAGGGAAUUCCUGGUGUAGCGGUGAAAUGCGUAGAUAUCAGGAGGAACAUCGGUGGCGAAAGCGCUUUACUGGACCAUUAUUGACGCUGAGGAACGAAAGCCAGGGGAGCAAAUGGGAUUAGAUACCCGGGUAU
rnacentral:rRNA from 1 species